UGGGUUGGAGCUCAGAGGUAGAGCACUCGCCUAGCAUGUGUGAGGCACUGGGUUCAAUCCUCAGCACCACAU
rnacentral:tRNA from 1 species